GACGAACGCUGGCGGCGUGCCUAAUACAUGCAAGUUGAGCGCUGAAGGUUGGUACUUGUACCGACUGGAUGAGCAGCGAGCGGGUGAGUAACGCGUGGGGAAUCUGCCUUUGAGCGGGGGACAACAUUUGGAAACGAAUGCUAAUACCGCAUAAAAACUUUAAACACAAGUUUUAAGUUUGAAAGAUGCAAUUGCAUCACUCAAAGAUGAUCCCGCGUUGUAUUAGCUAGUUGGUGAGGUAAAGGCUCACCAAGGCGAUGAUACAUAGCCGACCUGAGAGGGUGAUCGGCCACAUUGGGACUGAGACACGGCCCAAACUCCUACGGGAGGCAGCAGUAGGGAAUCUUCGGCAAUGGACGAAAGUCUGACCGAGCAACGCCGCGUGAGUGAAGAAGGUUUUCGGAUCGUAAAACUCUGUUGGUAGAGAAGAACGUUGGUGAGAGUGGAAAGCUCAUCAAGUGACGGUAACUACCCAGAAAGGGACGGCUAACUACGUG
rnacentral:rRNA from 1 species